rnacentral:rRNA from 1 species
UGGGGAAUUUUGGACAAUGGGGGCAACCCUGAUCCAGCCAUUCCGCGUGAGUGAAGAAGGCCUUCGGGUUGUAAAGCUCUUUUGUCCGGAACGAAACGGGUAACGUGAAUAUCGUUGCCUACUGACGGUACCGGAAGAAUAAGCCACGGCUAACUACGUGCCAGCAGCCGCGGUAAUACGUAGGUGGCAAGCGUUGUCCGGAUUUAUUGGGUUUAAAGGGUGCGUAGGCGGCCAAUUAAGUCAGUGCUGAAAUAUCCCGGCUUAACCGGGAGGGUGGCAUUGAUACUGGUUGGCUUGAGUGAAGUCGAAGUAGGCGGAAUUGACGGUGUAGCGGUGAAAUGCUUAGAUAUCGUCAAGAACACCGAUAGUGUAGACAGUUUACUAGGCUUUAACUGACGCUGAGGCACGAAAGUGUGGGGAUCAAA